GCUGGGACUACAGAUUGAAAGAGAAAACUGGAAAGAUUGAUGGACUUAUGCUAACACAAUCAAGCCUAAAAACCAGAACAGUUGUGACAAGGUUGAAGUUCAUUCAUCAGAAGUGUAUGAGAUGGAAGUAUUCACCUCUAUAAUUAUUUUGCUCACCUUAAUAAUGAUGACUGACCAAUUAGGCUGGUCAUUGACAUUCAUUAUAAAGAUGGCCAUAACAGAUGUUAUCAGCUCCACUGAAGUAAUUUAAAGAAAAAACAGCAUAGGACUGUAAGUUAGGAUGCCUAGGUUUAGUCUUCUGCCAAAGAGAAGGCAUGUGAUUUAAGGUUAAUCACUCAGCCUUUCUGAGCCCAUUUCCACUUCUGUGAAAUUAUGGUUUGGAGUAAAUGACUUUCAUAUUUCUUAUUUGGUGUCAUUGUGAUUCCUUUUCCAGCUAUGCCUCCCAAUGAUGGAGCUGAGGCAGGUAUUUCCCUUUCAUUACACUUUUUAUUACAUUUUUAUAUCUCAAAUUUAUCUGGAACAGCAUUUUAAACUGUUUCUUAUUUUGUGCCUACUGAUCAUUGCAUUUUAGGUUAGUCAGAAUACCAGUGCUGGCUUUUAUGAUGUGAUGUUUGAAAGGAUGCUUCCAAAGGAAAUUUAA
rnacentral:lncRNA from 1 species